AGUGAACGCUGGCGGUAGGCCUAACACAUGCAAGUCGAACGGCAGCACAGUAAGAGCUUGCUCUUACGGGUGGCGAGUGGCGGACGGGUGAGGAAUACAUCGGAAUCUACUUUUUCGUGGGGGAUAACGUAGGGAAACUUACGCUAAUACCGCAUACGACCUACGGGUGAAAGCAGGGGAUCUUCGGACCUUGCGCGAUUGAAUGAGCCGAUGUCGGAUUAGCUAGUUGGCGGGGUAAAGGCCCACCAAGGCGACGAUCCGUAGCUGGUCUGAGAGGAUGAUCAGCCACACUGUAACUGAGACACGGUCCAGACUCCUACAGGAGGCAGCAGUGGGGAAUAUUGGACAAUGGGCGCAAGCCUGAUCCAGCAAUACCGCGUGGGUGAAGAAGGCCUUCGGGUUGUAAAGCCCUUUUGUUGGGAAGGAAAAGCAGCAGGUUAAUACCCCGCUGUCCUGACGGUACCCAAAGAAUAAGCGCCGGCUAACUUCGUG
rnacentral:rRNA from 1 species